CCCUUAGAUGUUCUGGGCCGCACGCGUGCUACACUGAGUGGAUCAGCGGGUCAGGUUGCGCGAAAGCGUUUCCUAAUCUUUAAAUCCGCUCGUGAUGGGGAUUGACGGUUGCAAUUUUCUGUCAUGAACGAGGAAUACCUUGUAAGCGCGGGUCAUCAUCCCGCGCUGAAUACGUCCCUGCCCUUUGUACACACCGCCCGUCGCUCCUACCGAUUGAGCAUCCCGGUGAAGACUCAGGAGAUAUGUACGUGGCUGGUCUCCAGCUGCGUUGCGUGCCGAAUUUGUCUAAACCUUGAUGCUUAGAGGAAGGAGAAGUCGUAACA
rnacentral:rRNA from 1 species